rnacentral:rRNA from 1 species
CACGGGGGGCUGCAGUGGGGAAUAUUGGACAAUGGGCGAAAGCCUGAUCCAGCCAUGCCGCGUGUGUGAAGAAGGCCUUCGGGUUGUAAAGCACUUUCAGUGGGGAAGAAAGCCUUGGGGCUAAUACCCUCGAGGAAGGACAUCACCCACAGAAGAAGCACCGGCUAACUCCGUGCCAGCAGCCGCGGUAAUACGGAGGGUGCGGGCGUUAAUCGGAAUUACUGGGCGUAAAGCGCGCGUAGGCGGUCUGAUAAGCCGGUUGUGAAAGCCCCGGGCUCAACCUGGGAACGGCAUCCGGAACUGUCAGGCUAGAGUGCAGGAGAGGAAGGUAGAAUUCCCGGUGUAGCGGUGAAAUGCGUAGAGAUCGGGAGGAAUACCAGUGGCGAAGGCGGCCUUCUGGACUGACACUGACGCUGAGGUGCGAAAGCGUGGGUAGCAAACAGGAUUAGAUACCCGGGUAGUC